rnacentral:lncRNA from 1 species
AUAUCAAAUAUGCUCAUUUAGCGUUCUUUUAAAUAUAUCCCUACAAUUAGAUUCUACUGUAAGAAAUAACUGUUAUCCCUAUGAAAUUAUUAUUUUGUCCUCUCAAAUACACCCAUCUCAUCACCAAUAUUUAUUAUUAACUGUUAUCCCUAUGAAAUUAUUAUUUUGCCCUCUCAAAUACACCCAUCUCAUCACCAAUAUUUAUUAUUUNUAAAUAUAUCCCUACAAUUAGAUUCUACUGUAAGAAAUAACUGUUAUCCCUAUGAAAUUAUUAUUUUGUCCUCUCAAAUACACCCAUCUCAUCACCAAUAUUUAUUAUUAACUGUUAUCCCUAUGAAAUUAUUAUUUUGCCCUCUCAAAUACACCCAUCUCAUCACCAACAUUUAUUAUUUACUGGUAAGUUUUUUUUUUUUUUUUAGAGAGAGAGAUAUAGGUAGCAUGCUACCGCUUCGUUUAUUUUAUUUAGAAAUAAACUUAGCUGAAAAUGUGAAUCAACUAGGAUUCGAACUUGGGUCUCGAAUACCAACCACCAAGACCUUUGCCACUUGCUCUAGGAACAGUUGGUUUAUUUGCCGGUAAGUUAAGAGCAAAAAAAAUAUAUUUUGAUUUUUUCCCUUCCAUAUAUAUCCUUCUACUGUCACUGAUUUUUUUUAAUUUGCUCUUAAGUUAGGAACAAAAGAAGUAUUUUUAGUUUUUUAUUUUUUUAACUCUGAUAGAAAUUUAGGAUUUAACCUAAGAUGAAUACUACCAGCGAGGGUAUUUUUAAAUAACGAAAAAAAUAUAAAAGGUAUAUUGGAACAAAAAAAAAUGAAUAAAUAAAAUAUUUCAGAAGUAUUGAGAGGUAUAUCGGCAAUUAUCCCAUAUCAUAAUACUUUGGUUAU